rnacentral:rRNA from 1 species
UACGAAGGGGGCUAGCGUUGUUCGGAAUUACUGGGCGUAAAGCGCGCGCAGGCGGUUUUCCAAGUCAGUGGUGAAAGCCCGGAGCUCAACUCCGGAACUGCCAUUGAAACUGGCGAACUUGAGUACGAGAGAGGUGAGUGGAAUUCCCAGUGUAGAGGUGAAAUUCGUAGAUAUUGGGAAGAACACCGGUGGCGAGGGCGGCUCACUGGCUCGUAACUGACGCUCAGGCGCGACAGCGUGGGGAUCAAACAGG